rnacentral:rRNA from 1 species
UGGGGAAUAUUGCACAAUGGGCGCAAGCCUGAUGCAGCAACGCCGCGUGAGGGACGACGGCCUUCGGGUUGUAAACCUCUUUUGGCAGGGAAGAAGCGAAAGUGACGGUACCUGCAGAAAAAGCACCGGCUAACUACGUG